GACGAACGCUGGCGGCGUGCCUAAUACAUGCAAGUAGAACGCUGAAGGAGGAGCUUGCUUCUCUGGAUGAGUUGCGAACGGGUGAGUAACGCGUAGGUAACCUGCCUGGUAGCGGGGGAUAACUAUUGGAAACGAUAGCUAAUACCGCAUAAGAGUAGAUGUCGCAUGACAUUUGCUUAAAAGGUGCAAUUGCAUCACUACCAGAUGGACCUGCGUUGUAUUAGCUAGUUGGUGAGGUAACGGCUCACCAAGGCAACGAUACAUAGCCGACCUGAGAGGGUGAUCGGCCACACUGGGACUGAGACACGGCCCAGACUCCUACGGGAGGCAGCAGUAGGGAAUCUUCGGCAAGGGACGGAAGUCUGACCGAGCAACGCCGCGUGAGUGAAGAAGGUUUUCGGAUCGUAAAGCUCUGUUGUAAGAGAAGAACGAGUGUGAGAGUGGAAAGUUCACACUGUGACGGUAUCUUACCAGAAAGGGACGGCUAACUACGUG
rnacentral:rRNA from 1 species